AUUGAACGCUGGCGGCAUGCUUUACACAUGCAAGUCGAACGGUAACAGGCCUUCGGGUGCUGACGAGUGGCGAACGGGUGAGUAAUGCAUCGGAACGUACCCAGAGGUGGGGGAUAACGCAGCGAAAGCUGUGCUAAUACCGCAUGUGAUCUGAGGAUGAAAGCGGGGGACCGAGCAGCAAUGUUUGGCCUCGCGGCUUUGGAGCGGCCGAUGUCGGAUUAGCUAGUUGGUGGGGUAAAGGCCUACCAAGGCGACGAUCCGUAGCUGGUCUGAGAGGACGACCAGCCACACUGGGACUGAGACACGGCCCAGACUCCUACGGGAGGCAGCAGUGGGGAAUUUUGGACAAUGGGCGCAAGCCUGAUCCAGCAAUGCCGCGUGCGGGAAGAAGGCCUUCGGGUUGUAAAACGCUUUUGGCAGGAACGAAACGGUGUCCGCUAAUACCGGGCGCUAAUGACGGUACCUGCAGAAUAAGCACCGGCUAACUACGUG
rnacentral:rRNA from 1 species